UACGUAGGGGGCAAGCGUUAUCCGGAUUUACUGGGUGUAAAGGGAGCGUAGACGGCAAGGCAAGUCUGGAGUGAAAGCCCGGGGCUCAACUCCGGGACUGCUUUUGAAACUGUGUGACUGGAGUGCAGGAGAGGUAAGCGGAAUUCCUGGUGUAGCGGUAAAAUGCGUAGAUAUAUGGAAGAACACCAGUGGCGAAGGCGGCCGCCUGGCCUGUUGCUGACGCUGAGGCACGAAAGCGUGGGGAGCAAAUAGG
rnacentral:rRNA from 1 species